rnacentral:rRNA from 1 species
AUGAACGCUAGCUACAGGCUUAACACAUGCAAGUCGAGGGGCAGCAUGGUCUUAGCUUGCUAAGGCCGAUGGCGACCGGCGCACGGGUGAGUAACACGUAUCCAACCUGCCGUCUACUCUUGGACAGCCUUCUGAAAGGAAGAUUAAUACAAGAUGGUAUGAUGAGAUUGCAUGAUAGCAUCAUUAAGGAUUUAUCGGUGUACGAUGGGGAUGCGUUCCAUUAGGUAGUAGGCGGGGUAACGGCCCACCUAGCCGACGAUGGAUAGGGGUUCUGAGAGGAAGGUCCCCCACAUUGGAACUGAGACACGGUCCAAACUCCUACGGGAGGCAGCAGUGAGGAAUAUUGGUCAAUGGACGAGAGUCUGAACCAGCCAAGUAGCGUGCAGGAUGACGGCCCUAUGGGUUGUAAACUGCUUUUAUAAGGGAAUAAAGUGAGUCUCGUGAGACUUUUUGCAUGUACCUUAUGAAUAAGGACCGGCUAAUUCCGUG